rnacentral:lncRNA from 1 species
GAAAGCCCUUCUGGAUGCCAGUGAGAGCAACUGUCCUUUUAAGCUGGCUUAGCAGUACCUCUCAGGUGCUCCAACAGUUUUCCAAAGAAAAUAGACCAAAACUUUCUUCUUGAGAAGAAACCAACCUGCUGUUGGCAAAGGGUAUUUCUCACCUCUCUGUGAAAAGAAGACAGACAACACCAGAGCCUGGGCGCCCCAGCUGCUGAGGGAAGUUUCCACGGUGAAGUCCUGAGGAGGCUUCCUGGGAGCCGAGCAUAGUGAAUGCUGCGCCGGCUAGUGUUCUAGUCGUCAGCUCUCGUGUACCCCUUACCCAGCCAGCUGAAGCGGGGCUAGUACUACUUAAAACACCUCUGAAGUUCCUGACGUCCUCCGUGAGGUACAGCACAUUCUUGCUCAGAUGCAGGGGAGAGCGUGGUCUGGUUAUGGAAAAGCUUGGGAUGGCUGGGGAUGUCAUUCAGCUGGCAGAAGACUUGCCUAGCGCGUGCAGAGCCCUGGGUUCCAUGCCCAGCAAUACGGAAAGCCUGACAGGGUGACAGGCACCUGUAAUCCCAGCUGUGAAAGUAGAAGCAGGAGG